rnacentral:misc_RNA from 1 species
GGAAGUAAAAGUUGUAACAAGGUUUCCGUAGGUGAACCUGCGGAAGGAUCAUUAUUGUAUAACCGAGGUGCGAGGGCUGUCGCUGACCCGAAAGGUCGUGCACGCCCGAGUGCCCUCACACACAUCCAUCUCACCCCUAUGUGCACCACCGCGUGGGUCCCCCUUUGGCUUGUUCGGAGGGGGGCUUACGUUUUCACACAAACUUUGUAUGCAGUGUAGAAUGUAUUUUAUGUUUUUGCGAUCACGCAAUCAAUACAACUUUCAACAACGGAUCUCUUGGCUCUC